GCUGUGGACAGAUCCAGACAAAGACAGGCUUAUUUACGGGGUACCCUUCAUGCAUACAUGCCACUGGGAGCUGCCCAGUACCACGUACUGGGGGUGGACAAUGAGAGCAAUAUGGCAGACAUUCAGUUCCCUCUCCCAUGCUUGGAUUUUUAACUACUACGUGUGAAUCUGGCUGUUCUGCAGUCGCCACCGUGCAUUUGCAGAAACAUGUUUCGAAAAUGUCCUGCCGGCCUAGUUUCACCACAAGCAAAUUUUCACACAAAAAGGAACGACUUAUUUAUUGUUGGAAACAAAAAAGUGCAGAUGCAAAUCUAAAUACAGAAAGCAUGAUCAAUACUGUCAAAAAUACAGAUGCUCCACUUUUCUUUCCCACAUCUUCGGAAAUCCUUUUUAUUGUGUCUCUUGGCCAAGUUUUGCAGCAGGAUAGAUAAUGAAAUAAUCCAAAAUAAAGUCUUUGCCGUUGCAUUGUUAUUCAUACUGAAACAGGUUUCAUUGCCACAAUUGUGGCUUUCCAGGGUAGAAUGUGGGCCCCCGCACUGACAUAUUACAAAACAGGAAGGGACACUUUUUUUGCAGAAAUAAGCAGCUGUGGUGGUGCAUUAAAAGAAAGGCACAUCUCAACAGCAGUUCAUCUACUUAGACAAGCAAGACUGGUCUAAGUAGGCAAAUUACAUAUUAGAGACACAGCAUUGUAGGCCAGACAAUCUGAGCCUAUCCCAAACAUACAAUGAAUCACCAGCAGCUCAGCUUUUAUGUUCUUACUUUCUUAUGAUUGUGAAAGAAAUCUGGUAUUUUCCAGUGAAAACGGAUGAAAUGUAAACGCUGCAUUAAUCAUAGCAGAGGCAGCGCAACGUACCCGAGGCAGGUCUUGAGGAAGUCUCUGCGCUUGCUUUCAUCAGUGAUGGUCAGGUGAUGUUUAUACUGCAGCAGCUACACACCACGAGACACACACACACACCUACCACCCAUCAUACACCACCUACCAACACUUCUCACAUACUUUUAAUAUAAAGUAUAAAAGAAAAAAAAAAUCAUCCAAUAGUACAGGAUGAUGUGACUAUGGGUUUGAAGGCAACAGUAAAUAUAGAGUAGAGGAGGUAUUACAAUAUUAAUACUUGAGGUAGCAUAAAGGUUGACCGUAUUAUAGUCGUGACAGCAGAGGUAGUAUAACAGAAGUGAAAUUAGAAGUUGUAUAAUAAGAUAGUGUUACAGUACAUACCGCCUCAUCCUCAGUCCGGCCCAAAG